ACGUAGGGGGCAAGCGUUGAUCGGAAUUACUGGGCGUAAAGCGUGCGCAGGCGGCUCUAUAAGACAGAUGUGAAAUCCCCGGGCUUAACCUGGGAAUGGCGCUUGUGACUGGCGAGCUGGAGUACGGCAGAGGGGGGUGGAAUUCCACGUGUAGCAGUGAAAUGUGUAGAGAUGUGGAGGAACACCGAUGGCGAAGGCAGCCCCCUGGGCCGAUACUGACGCUCAUGCACGAAAGCGUGGGGAGCAAACAG
rnacentral:rRNA from 1 species